rnacentral:rRNA from 1 species
GGGUGCGAUCAUACCUGCACUGAUGCACCGGA